GGUAAUAUGGCUGAGCAUAGGCAGUAAAUUGUAAAUUUACUUACGAACAUAUAUUCUAUUACCA
rnacentral:tRNA from 1 species